CAGAAAUCCAAGUUUUCAGAAUCCAAGUUUUCAGAAAUCCAAGUUACCAGUACUUGAUCUAUCUGUUACAGAAUUCUGAGAGAUCUCUGCUCUCACUGCUCCUUCUUUCCUGUCAUUAAGCUCUCACAUUCAGUCAUUUUGCUGGAAAUUACAAGUUGAAUAUACAGUAGUAGAAUUACAGUACAGUAGAACUUAUAGUAGAAACUACUUACACAGCCCUACAUUUGUCAUUUUAAUUUUGCAUUAGACUUUAGUUUGGACUGCUAGUUUGGCUUACUUUGAUCAAUUGUAUAAAAUAUCACCUUUUUAUAAGUUUAUUUGUAAUAAGAUAAUCUGGUUAUUUUGUAAUACAUACAUUCAGAUAAAUAAUAAAUUAGAUCCAGUCUGUUAGUCUGUUUCAUUGGCUAUAACAUUUGACUGCAAGUUUAUAGUAUUAUUAUUUAAGGACAAACCCAUUUUGGCACUCAGUGUAAGUAUUCAGUUAGUAUUGUCAUCGAGAAGCACCUGAGGACCCAGACUUUCUGUUUUCUGACUGCUGCAGAAAAUCCAGCUGAAGAAUCCUCAUCGUCUGUCAUCUUAUCACCACACCACCAAAGCUCCAUAUAUUUGAUUUAAAUUUUAGAUAUCUGAAAGAUUUACAUAAACUCCCCUAAGAGCUAAGACUUUUAUUAUAGCCUGUUGAUUGUUGAGGUUUAUUCUGCAUAUCAUCUUACAGAAGUUGUACUUAUUUAUCAGUCUGGUUAAAAAAAUAUAAGUAAAAUUAUACAGUUUCUAAAAGAGCUACAAUAAAACGGACCAAAUUGUUUCCAGAGAACUUUGAAUUUCCUUUAUUUUGAGUUUGGAGUACAAAUCAGCUUAACGUCUAUUUAUAUAUUCAUAAAAACAUUUUAAAGUAGUAUAAUAGUACAUUUCUCAGAUUUAACAGUAACUUGAGGAGUUUUACGUUUUUCUGUGUUUCAAGGUUGAGUUUUGUUUACAUUUGUGUAUAACCACAUAUAAGCUCCAGGUUGUACUUCAGCAAAAUGCCAAGAAAAGGUCAAAGGUCGCAGUCCCAGAAGCUUAGACGUCAGAAGGAGAAAGAACAGGUGAAUGUUUCUCAGAGCAGUGAGCAGGUAAAGUGUCUGUCCCAGAGCCUGAAGUUAUGCAGCUAAUCCAGACUGAACCCCAGUGUCUGUCCCAGAUCCUGAAGUUAUGCAGGUUACAAACAGUGAAAGUCGUCCACAAGUGAGUAGCAUCUGUGCAGCCCGAAGCCAGGCUUCUCCUAGAUCUUAACCGUGUGUUGGACAAAGGCCAUGCAGUGUACUCAGAUGCCAGAAAGAGGUUUGUGAACAGCGUGUUUCUAGCCUGUGAUGAGCUUCCCUCAGUGGUCACCAGCCGCAGACGUGAGUAUCAAGUUGACAUGUCUCAGUUUGCUCGUUACGGCACAUUUGAUGGUACAGGUCAUCUUCCGAGCCUUGAACAAGGACUACAGUGUUUGGCUUCAGAGUUUUGCUACGCUUUGCUAGUCAUGGGAGGAACAGUCAUCGCCGUUUGCAGGCUGACUUCAGGUGAAUAUGCAUAUUUUGACCCUCACCCACGUAAGUCUACUGGUAUGCCAUUGUCGCUAAGUGUAAGUGGUGGAACUGCAGUUAUGUUGAAGUUCACACGUCUUAAUGACAUGAUUGACAGGAUCAAACGUUUGUACCGAAUGUUUAGCAUCGCACCAACCUGCACUUAUGAGCUACAGCCCAUCGAGUUUCACAGUGAAAACGCUGCUGACCAAAGAGAUGCUAAUCAGACCACCGAAUACAGACAAACAGCUACAAGUGCACCAGCACCAGCUUUAAGUGAAUGUGUUCAUGAAUCAAACUCCGAAAUAUACACUGAGCAGACACGGAAACCUGUGACCAAAGAUUUAACCAGUGAAGUAAUGUCAUCCAGAGCUGAUUCUUCAAAUGAGACAGUUGCUCCCAGAAAAAAACAACCUUCUGAUUAUUUUGAAAAGAAAACCUCUGCAUCUUCUGUGAGAGAAACUCCAGUAACACCAGAUUCUGUUCCUCAGAAUGAUUCAAACACUGCCUCCAGUUCAACUAAGAUAACAGAGGAACUCUCAGAUAAACUGCUGAAACGUAAUAAACAGCAAAGGCAAAAAAUGAGGAGAUUAUUGACCCAACAAAAGCUACCACAACGAAAGGAAAAUCAGAAGACAAAAGAAAGGCAGAUGUACAGGUUUGAUGAAAGCUUCAAGACAAAGAAAAAAAACUCAAUUAAGAAGUCUAAUGAUCCUGAUCACAGACAGAAAAGGAGUCAGUACAAAAAUGAACUGUAUAAAUUAAAUGCUACCUAUAGGGAGAAACACAGAGAACAUUUGAGAAAGAUGUAUAGAGAAAGUGCUACAAUUAGAGAGAGAAAAAGAGAACGUGUCAUAAGGACAUAUAAAGACAAUCCCCUAUUCAGAGAAAACCAGAAGAAACGUAUAACAAGAACAUAUAGAGAGUCUUCCAUAUUCAGAGAUAAGCAGAAGGAACGUAUAACAAGAACAUAUAGAGAGUCUUCCAUAUUCAGAGAUAAGCAGAAGGAACGUAUAACAAGAACAUAUAGAGAGUCUUCCAUAUUCAGAGAUAAGCAGAAAGAACGUAUAAGAAGAAUAUACAGAACUUGUGCUGGAUUCAGAGAAAAACAUAAAGCUUACAUGAGGUCAUAUGUAUAUAACCUAUAUAAAGAAAGCGAAGAAUUUAAAAAGAAAAAACGAUCUUACAUGACUAAGCGUUAUGGAGAAGAGAAACAAUUUCAGCAACAACACAAGGACAAUAUGAG
ensembl:lncRNA